CCAGAAGCACAGAGCUCAGAUAAAGUUCGAUGUUGUCAGUUUUCUCCUCUUGGCUGGAUUUAAAGAAAGAAAAGACCCAAAUGUCUGGCCCAUUUCCUACAAGUAAGUAGAUUUAAGAGCAUGCCUCCAGCUAGUUCCUUGGAUGAUAACUGAUGUUGGCUAACACUGUUGAGGAUAUCAUUCUGUAACAGAUGUGGGAGAUGGAAGAAACUUUGGGCAGUGGUGGUGUGUAUUGUGAUCAGAGUGGAGGGGCCCCCAAGCAAGGAACCGAGAGCUGCCUUUAGAAAAGAACUAGUAAAGAAUUAAAACCAUCAGUCCAGCAGCCUACAAAGAGAUGAAUGCUGCCAACAGCCACUGAGUGACCAGGAAGCACCUCCUUCCCUAGUUGAGACUGCAGAUGAGACCACAACCCCUGGUCCCACACUUUGAUUACAGCCUUGUGAGAGACCAUGAACCAGGGGACCCAGAGAAGUCAUGACCAGAUUCCUGCCCUACAG
rnacentral:lncRNA from 10 species